CCCUUCCUCGAUUCCAACUUUUCCCCAACCUGCUAGCUGAAGGCUCUGGCGGCGGCGAGCGAUUCUUGGUCCGGCGGCGGCGGCCGGCUCUCCUGCCUCUCCCUUGGUCCCUUCCCUCCCCUCCAUCCGGCCAUCUCACUCCCCUGCCCUCGGCCUCCGGCGCCCAGCCCUCUCCUCCGCGGCUCCCCCAGGCACCAGGCCACCAGUCCGCCUCCGGCUUCCCGAGCGCGGCGGCAGCCGGCAGCGCCCUCCAGGCUCCAGCCACCGUCCUCGGGCCUCCCCGGCGCGGCGGCAGCAACAUCCAGCAGUCCGGCCUUCGUUCCUCAACAGCCACAAU
rnacentral:rRNA from 1 species